UCUUACUGUCCUUGGCCCUCUCCCCAAAUCUGGGAAGGGCUCUGCUCAGCUGUGAGAACUGCUUUACCUCAAACUCAGCUCUCUACUAGCAGACAGACUGAAGAGCUCUCCUAGACCACAGAAGUCUCAGAAUUGUCAAAUGCUAUAUGCAGGGACAUCGUUAAGGUGGUGAGAGGCACUGAAGUGUGACCGGGACCAUGGAGGCCUCUGUGCUGAGCCCCACAUCCUGGGAGAAACGUCGAGCUUGGCUCCGUCAGAGCCGCAACUGGCAGAC